rnacentral:rRNA from 1 species
ACGGGAGGCAGCAGUGGGGAAUAUUGGGCAAUGGGCGAAAGCCUGACCCAGCAACGCCGCGUGAAGGAAGAAGGCCUUCGGGUUGUAAACUUCUUUUACCAGGGACGAAGGACGUGACGGUACCUGGAGAAAAAGCAACGGCUAACUACGUGCCAGCAGCCGCGGUAAUACGUAGGUUGCAAGCGUUGUCCGGAUUUACUGGGUGUAAAGGGCGUGUAGGCGGAGCUGCAAGUCAGAUGUGAAAUCCCGGGGCUCAACCCCGGAACUGCAUUUGAAACUGUAGCCCUUGAGUAUCGGAGAGGCAAGCGGAAUUCCUGGUGUAGCGGUGGAAUGCGUAGAGAUCAGGAAGAACACCGAUGGCGAAGGCAGCUUGCUGGGGACUUAUCGACGCUCAUGCUCGAAAGUGCGGGUAGCAAACAGGAUUAGAUACCCUGGUA